GCAAGGCGUAGUUGGAAAAUAUACCAAUGUCGGCGAAAAAGACUUCGAUUCCUGGUGCACAAAGAGACAAGCGUUAUGUUGAAAAGCUAAAAGAAAGCAACAAAUACGACGAGUACAAAAAGAAAAAGGCCGAAGCAAUGAAAAAAUUGAGGGCUAACAGAAAAGAGGAAGAAAAACUAAUGCCAAUAAGUGAAUUGGGAAAGACGAUUUCUAUGCGCCAUGCUGCUGGCCGCGAAAGAAGCAAAAAAUAUCGACAGAAAUUAAAACAAUCAGCUAAAGACACCCAAAUUGAGAAGAAUCCAAGCUGCAGCCUUAGCGAAAUCAUUCAGAAAAGCCACACAAGAAAACAGCGGUAUUGACGCACAUUGUUGCGAAUUUGGACGAAGUUGAAAAACAAAAUUUAGUCAGUGUGUAGGGAAAAAAUUUUGAUUCCAACUAGACACACGACCCUUUCUAUUAGGGAAGCGUUUGCAUUAUUCACCGAAGAAAGAAAUAAAAAACAGCUAAGCUGCUGCUCACUAUCUUUUUUUAAAAAACAUCGCCCAGAGCACGUGAAGCCCAUUAACGAGCUACCCCAUAACACAUGUAUGUGCUCGUGUCACUCUAAUUUCAUGGAAGGUGUCUCUGCGCUGCAAAAAGUUGCUGCUAAUGUUCCCAGGUAUGAUGACGGUUUUGUUCGCCAGUUUUUGUGCCAGGAGGCAUCCAUGGAUUGCUGGUUUGCAAAAUGCAACAAAUGCUCUGGAAUAUCUGCAGAGUCGUUGAAAAGCGCAGUCGGCAGUGUUUCGCCUCAGUCGCCUGUGUCAUGGAUUG